CAGCAGCCGCGGUAAUACAGAGGGUGCAAGCGUUAAUCGGAAUUACUGGGCGUAAAGCGCGCGUAGGUGGUUUGUUAAGUUGGAUGUGAAAGCCCCGGGCUCAACCUGGGAACUGCAUCCAAAACUGGCAAGCUAGAGUACGGUAGAGUGUGGUGGAAUUUCCUGUGUAGCGGUGAAAUGCGUAGAUAUAGGAAGGAACACCAGUGGCGAAGGCGACCACCUGGACUGAUACUGACACUGAGGUGCGAAAGCGUGGGGAGCAAACAGGAUUAGAUACCCCUGUAGUCCCUGUCUCUUAUAC
rnacentral:rRNA from 1 species